rnacentral:sRNA from 1 species
CCCUAGCCCUGAUCGCAACGGCAUCUCCCGAUUUAGAAAAACAAGGCUUUUUCAGCCGUAGUUUUUAUUAAUCGGGAAUACAGUGCAGAGCAGGAGAAAGC